rnacentral:lncRNA from 1 species
GGUCAACUAAAGAUUUUGUCAGUACAAGAGCAUAUCAAGAGAAUACAGAUAAAUCAAUGAUGAAGCAGGAGAGGUGCUGGAAGGAAAUUAACCAUGUAAGCAGCUAUCAAUCAAUCAAUAUCUACAAAGGACUUACUGUGCUCACAGUACUGUAGCAACUACUUUUCACAAAACAAGGGAAACGUAAAGUAUGAUGCUUACAGUAUGUUAAAUUUAUAAUACUGUCUUGCAAAUGCAAUAGAAAUACACCAAAGGCACAGUGCACUAUGUGCCGCGGGAGAAAAGAAAAUUUAAGCUGGGCGUUGAAGGGUUGGUUAAAUUCAGAGAAACAGUACACAUAGUUUUCACGAAAAAAAGAAGGAGAAUUAUACAAAGAUAAAGUGGUGAAAGUGAGAGGCACAGGAAGACCAAGAAAAGAUGGAAGUGGUUAACAAGGUAAAAAAAGUUUGGAUAGGUAAGAAAGAAUUAGAUGUAAGGAGGCUUUCAAAUUUACUAAAGGAAUCUGAACUUUUGAUUUGAUAAGAUAAUUGAAAUAAAAAGGAUUUUUGCCUUUGAGUAAGAGAAUAACACAUGGACAAUCAAAAUGGACAAUGGUAUUUGUCCAC